UGGGGAAUCUUGGACAAUGGGCGCAAGCCUGAUCCAGCCAUGCCGCGUGAGUGAUGAAGGCCCUAGGGUUGUAAAGCUCUUUCACCGGUGAAGAUAAUGACGGUAACCGGAGAAGAAGCCCCGGCUAACUUCGUGCCAGCAGCCGCGGUAAUACGAAGGGGGCUAGCGUUGUUCGGAUUUACUGGGCGUAAAGCGCACGUAGGCGGACUUUUAAGUCAGGGGUGAAAUCCCGGGGCUCAACCCCGGAACUGCCUUUGAUACUGGAAGUCUUGAGUAUGGUAGAGGUGAGUGGAAUUCCGAGUGUAGAGGUGAAAUUCGUAGAUAUUCGGAGGAACACCAGUGGCGAAGGCGGCUCACUGGACCAUUACUGACGCUGAGGUGCGAAAGCGUGGGGAGCAAACAGG
rnacentral:rRNA from 1 species